ensembl:lncRNA
GGGGGAAUGGCUGUUUAUGAGGGUGGACAGUGAUAGGACAAGGGGGAAUGGUUUUAAAUUGAGACAGAGGAGGUUUAGUCUGGAUAUUAGGGGGAAGUUUUUCCCCCAGAGGGUGGUGACACACUGAACAGGUUGCCCAAGGAGGCUGUGGAUGCCCCAUCCCUGCAGGCAUUCAAGGCCAGGCUGGAUGUGGCUCUGGGCAGCCUGGUCUGCUGGUUGGCGACCCUGCACAUAGCAGGGGGGUGGGACUGGACGGGGAUUGCUCUCCAGAUGUGCCCCUGCUUGGUGGUGUUAGCAGGGAAACCCAUUGCUUGGAGCUGCUGCCUUGCUGAGGGCAAGGCAUUGGGCAGCAGUGAGGUUCACAGAGGGGAUAAACUAAAACUG